GUCAAACUGGAACAGCAUACAAUAAAUCCUUCCCCCAAUAAUGAGACGACACUUCACUUUGAGGGUUAAAACAGGAACUCCCUGUACUGUCACAUACAGUCUCUUUUAUUCCCAAUCCACAAACAUAGUACAGCCCACAGGGCGUUACAAAACAGCCAAUCAAUCCGUACAAUACACCCAGACACUCCCACACAAAAUCCUCC